rnacentral:rRNA from 1 species
UACGGGGGGGGCAAGCGUUGUUCGGAAUUACUGGGCGUAAAGGGCUCGUAGGCGGCCAACUAAGUCGGACGUGAAAUCCCCAGGCUCAACCUGGGAACUGCGUCCGAUACUGGAUGGCUUGAAUCCGGGAGAGGGAUGCAGAAUUCCAGGUGUAGCGGUGAAAUGCGUAGAUAUCGAGAGGAACACCUGCGGCGAAGGCGGGUUGCUGGGCCGACACUGACGCUGAGGCGCGAAAGCCAGGGGAGCGAACGGG